rnacentral:rRNA from 1 species
UACGGAGGAUGCAAGCGUUAUCCGGAUUUAUUGGGUUUAAAGUGUGCGCAGGUUGUUUGAUAAGUCAGUGGUGAAAGUCUGUCGCUUAACGGUAGGAUUGCCAUUGAUACUGUUGGACUUGAAUAUGGAUGAGGUAGGCGGAAUGUGUAGUGUAGCGGUGAAAUGCAUAGAUAUUACACAGAACACCGAUUGCGAAGGCAGCUUACUAAUCCAUCAUUGACGCUGAGGCACGAAAGCGUGGGGAUCAAA